rnacentral:rRNA from 1 species
AGCGAACGCUGGCGGCAUGCUUAACACAUGCAGGUCGAACGAAGUCUUCGGACUUAGUGGCGCACGGGUGAGUAACACGUGGGGAUAUACCUUACGCUGGGGGAUAACAUCGGGAAACUGAUGCUAAUACCGCAUACGCCCUUCGGGGGAAAGAUUUAUCGGCGAAAGAUUAGCCCGCGUCCGAUUAGCUAGUUGGUGAGGUAAUGGCUCACCAAGGCUCCGAUCGGUAGCUGGUCUGAGAGGAUGACCAGCCACACUGGGACUGAGACACGGCCCAGACUCCUACGGGAGGCAGCAGUGGGGAAUAUUGGACAAUGGGCGCAAGCCUGAUCCAGCCAUGCCGCGUGAGUGAUGAAGGCCUUAGGGUUGUAAAGAUCUUUCACCCACGACGAUGAUGACGGUAGUGGGAGAAGAAGCCCCGGCUAACUUCGUGCCAGCCGCCGCCGUAA